rnacentral:rRNA from 1 species
CUAACGCGUUAAGUAGACCGCCUGGGGAGUACGGUCGCAAGAUUAAAACUCAAAUGAAUUGACGGGGGCCCGCACAAGCGGUGGAGCAUGUGGUUUAAUUCGAUGCAACGCGAAGAACCUUACCUACUCUUGACAUCCAGAGAAGCCAGCGGAGACGCAGGUGUGCCUUCGGGAGCUCUGAGACAGGUGCUGCAUGGCUGUCGUCAGCUCGUGUUGCGAAAUGUUGGGUUA